rnacentral:lncRNA from 1 species
CCUGCCCUCCUCCUUCCCUAUUGGCAGUCAGUUAAAAGCAGUAACAAAGCAAAGCUACAGUGCAUACCUCCAGUAAAGUGACUCAUCCUCACAUUCCUGAGUGUUUACACACAGCCACCCUUCCUUUUUAAAUAAAAAAAAUAGUUAUCAUAAAAAGGGAUCCAGUCUUCUCUGCUUUUGAAGCACCAAUACAGUGAGACCCAAAUCCUGAAAGGUGUCUUCGGGUGAUAUCAUAAUGAAUUCUCACAGGCUGGAGCUAAAUCUGCAUCAAAUCACUGAACAUGCAGUAUCAAGAUCAUCUCAGAGUUUUCCCUCACAGGAAUCAGCUCUUACAAAGGGAAGGGAUGUGUCCAAGCUGUGAAGAUUUUAUUAAUAUCAGGAUUUGAAUCCAAAAAGAGCUCUCCACCAGCAUUCAGUGGAAUUCGGGCAUGGAGACAAGCUCACCUAUUCUUCCUGUGAAAAC